AUACGUAGGGUGCAAGCGUUAAUCGGAAUUACUGGGCGUAAAGCGUGCGCAGGCGGUUUUGUAAGACAGAGGUGAAAUCCCCGGGCUCAACCUGGGAACUGCCUUUGUGACUGCAAGGCUAGAGUACGGCAGAGGGGGAUGGAAUUCCGCGUGUAGCAGUGAAAUGCGUAGAUAUGCGGAGGAACACCGAUUGCCAAGGCAAUCCCCUGGGCCUGUAGUGACUCUCAUGCACGAAAGCGUGGGGAGCAAACAGGGUUAGAUACCCUGGUAGUCGCCUCCCUAACAGAUUUCAACUGGUGGUUGGGUCUUCAGUGACUCAGUAACGAAGCUAACGCGUGAAGUUGGCCGCCUGGGGAGUACGGCCGCAAGGUUGAAACUCAAAUUAAUUGACGGGG
rnacentral:rRNA from 1 species